rnacentral:tRNA from 1 species
AAAGGGAGACCUAAUUCAGGUAGGAGACGAAAAAAAAGUAGUCCCUACCAAGAAUCAAUCCCAAAAGGUCGGAGCGAGGCGAAAUUGGCUUUCAAACUAGGUUCUGGGUUCAAACAAGACCUGAAUCAGGAACAAGGGCUAUUAGCUCAGGUGGUUAGAGCGCACCCCUGAUAAGGGUGAGGUCCCUGGUUCGAGUCCAGGAUGGCCCACCUGCACAGGUGGCAAAAACAAGAGAAGCGAGGAAUCAGCACCUUAUCUUACUUAUAUAGUAAGAGAGAAUGCUGGCUCUGAGUUCAGAGUCCAGAGGAACCUUGAAAACUGCAUAGAGCUAGGUGAAAAAGCCAAAAAAGAAGACCGCAAG